rnacentral:rRNA from 1 species
AGCAGCCGCGGUAAUACGAAGGGACCUAGCGUAGUUCGGAAUUACUGGGCUUAAAGAGUUCGUAGGUGGUUGAAAUAGUUGGUGGUGAAAUCCCAGAGCUUAACUCUGGAACUGCCAUCAAAACUUUUUAGCUAGAGUUUGAUAGAGGAAAGCAGAAUUUCUAGUGUAGAGGUGAAAUUCGUAGAUAUUAGAAAGAAUACCAAUUGCGAAGGCAGCUUUCUGGAUCAUUACUGACACUGAGGAACGAAAGCAUGGGUAGCGAAGAGGAUUAGAUACCCUCGUAGUCCAUGCCGUAAACGAUGUGUGUUAGACGUUGGAAAUUUAUUUUCAGUGUCGCGGCGAAAGCGAUAAACACACCGCCUGGGGAGUACGACCGCAAGGUUAAAACUCAAAUGAAUUGACGGGGACCCGCACAAGUAGUGGAGCAUGUGGUUUAAUUCGAAGAUACGCGCAGAACCUUACCAACACUUGACAUGUUCGUCGCGACCUUAAGAGAUUAAGGUUUUCGGUUCGGCCGGACGAAACACAGGUGCUGCAUGGCUGUCGUCAGCUCGUGUCGUGAGAUGUUGGGUUAAGUCCCGCAACGAGCGCAACCCUCACUUUUAGUUGCCAUCAUUUAGUUGGGCACUCUGAAAGAACUGCCAGUGAUAAGCUGGAGGAAGGUGGGGAUGACGUCAAGUCCUCAUGGCCCUUACGUGUUGGGCUACACACGUGCUACAAUGGCAUCUACAAUAGGAAGCAAAAUGGCGACAUUGAGCAAAUCCUAAAAAGAUGCCUCAGUUCGGAUUGCACUCUGCAACUCGAGUGCAUGAAGCUGGAAUUACUAGUAAUCGCGGAUCAGCGCGCCGCGGUGAAUACGUUCCCGGGUCUUGUACACACCGCCCGUCACACCAUGGGAGUUGGUUCUACCUUAAGGCAGAGUUUAAAACCUCUGACCACGGUAUAGUCAGCGACUGGGGUGAAGUCGUAACAAGGUAGCCG